rnacentral:tRNA from 1 species
GCUUCUGUGGCUCAGUUGGUAGAGCGUCGCAUUCGUAAUGCGUAGGUCGUGGGUUCGAGUCCCAUCAGAAGCU